rnacentral:rRNA from 1 species
AUACGGAGGGUGCGAGCGUUGUUCGGAAUUAUUGGGCGUAAAGAGCAUGUAGGCGGUCUGUUAAGUCUGGUGUGAAAGCCCGGGGCUCAACCCCGGAAGUGCAUUGGAUACUGGCAGACUUGAGUAUGGGAGAGGAAAGCGGAAUUCCGAGUGUAGGAGUGAAAUCCGUAGAUAUUCGGAGGAACACCAGUGGCGAAGGCGGCUUUCUGGACCAAUACUGACGCUGAGAUGCGAAAGCGUGGGGAGCGAACAGGAUUAGAUACCCGAGUAGUCC